AGCUGAAUCCCUCUUCUCUCCCCCUCCCCUCCCUUAUAUAUCCCACCUAUACGAGCCAGGCGCGUAUUUGUAACGUAAUGUCAACAUUUACAAAAUAACUAUAAUUUAACGUUUAUCAAUUCAAAAACAUGUACUUCAAUUAUCUUUACUUAAAAUUGAAUAAGUUUCUCAUUACUUAUUUAGAUAAUAAAUCAAAACUGUAAAUUAAUAUAAAGUUUUGGCGGCUUUCUUCUACUUCCGGCGGUUACAUAUGUGUACAGUUAAACAUUGCCUAGAUUAUACACACAAGUGGUCAGUCAAUUGAAAUACUACAAACUGGUGUGACUAUGUGAGAUUAUAAUAGGUGAAAAACCUUCAAGUAUGUCGGAUAAUCCAUCGUUUCUAUCUGGGUCGACGAACCGAUUUAUUUUCCGCCGAAUUUGAGGAAAAAGUGAUUUUUCUCAUGAUCAUGUUGUGGAUAGUUUAUCGGAAGAUGAGGAGAUGUACAUGCCGCCAAUCAAUCGUCGAGAUUUAAAUAUAUGACAACGUCUUACCGUAGUCCAGGUCUCUCCGAAAGGAUUCGGGUAAAUGAAAUACGAAAUCGCAGACUUACAAAAAUGGUACAGUAGAUAUAAACAAUAAAACUCCGGCAGGAUCUUCAUCGAGAUCCACACAUGUAUAUGUGCGCACUCAUGUUGGACACAGGUCAAGCAGCGCGCCAGGGAGUGGACAAAGCAGCAGCAGGAAGGAAACGCCGGAUCGGAUUACGCCUGAUAAACUCACAACAAGGGAAGCUGCUUGCUUGAAGUAGGCAUCAUAGAACGAAGGGG